UGAGGGUACGACAAUGCUUUAGGGGGAGCGUACGUGUGAGGGCGCGUGUUAGUGUUAGCGUACGUGUUACGAUUAGGGGACUGGUGAGUGUCAGGCUUCGGGGAAGGGUUAGGGUUAG